AUACGUAGGGGACAAGCGUUAUCCGGAUUUACUGGGCGUAAAGGGCGUGUAGGCGGUCUUGCAAGUCAGAAGUGAAAUCUUCGGGCUCAACCCGGAAACUGCAUUUGAAACUGUCGUUCUUGAGUAUCGGAGAGGCAAGCGGAAUUCCUAGUGUAGCGGUGAAAUGCGUAGAUAUUAGGAGGAACACCAGUGGCGAAGGCGGCUUGCGGGACGACAACUGACGCUGAGGCGCGAAAGCGUGGGGAGCAAACAGGAUUAGAUCCCCUGGUAGUCCACGCCGUAAACGAUGAAUACUAGGUGUGGGGGGACUGACCCCCUCCGUGCCGGAGUUAACACAAUAAGUAUUCCACCUGGGGAGUACGGCCGCAAGGUUGAAACUCAAAUGAAUUGACGGGG
rnacentral:rRNA from 1 species